UACGAAGGGGGCUAGCGUUGCUCGGAAUCACUGGGCGUAAAGGGUGCGUAGGCGGGUCUUUAAGUCAGGGGUGAAAUCCUGGAGCUCAACUCCAGAACUGCCUUUGAUACUGAGGAUCUUGAGUUCGGGAGAGGUGAGUGGAACUGCGAGUGUAGAGGUGAAAUUCGUAGAUAUUCGCGAAGAACACCAGUGGCGAAGGCGGCC
rnacentral:rRNA from 1 species